UGUUUGUUUUCUUAGUGGAGUUGAAUGACAUAUUUGCAAGUUGCACAAGAACAGAUAGUUAAACGCUAUGAGUUAGUUGUGAAUCAAACAGUGACACCAACAUUGUUGGAGGAAGUAUUUAUAUAGAAAUGAAUGCUCUAGGAGAUCUGGUGUUUGCCUCCAUAAUCCUGGUGGUUACUGCUGGUGGACUGGAUUCUUAUAAUGACAAUGACAAGGAAAUCAUUAACACCCUAAUCAAAUUAGCCAACAAAAAGUUAGCUUACUUCAGCAUGCAUUUGGAUUAUUCACAACGCCUGGCACAUGAUGAGCAUCCCAGAGCUCAUUUGCGAAUAGAGGUGAAACCAACCAACUGCACAAGGAAAACUUCAGCACACUUCCACCAUCAUCCUGAAUGCCAUGUCCAGACUGGAGCACACAUACCAGAAAUUGACUGCAUUGCCUGCCCUGACUUUGCUGAGUGUGUGCCUAAAAAACACCUGAAACAGACUUGGAGAAGGAGAGCAGAAGCGUGUGGCAGCAAUUUUUAUGGAGCAGAUGGAAUGCAUUUACUGCUUCCUUGAUGGACUAAAAUCUAACAGUGUCUAAUGUCCUCUGGAUCACCAAUUAUGUUUUCACUAUCAUAGUUCUUCUUCUGUUAAGCUAAUGGCAAAUAAUAAUAAAAGAAGCAAUAGAAAAAUAACUCGCCUCUCUUCAUGGUCCUGAUGUAUUGUGGUGAAUGUUACAUAAUGGAUUGUCAUUAUGCAUUGUAGGCCAUUUUGAGCAGCUAACAGAUGUGCCAAUGAGGCAGUUUGAAUACAAAUACACUUGUACUGCUAAUAAAAAAAACAUGGAACACCAAAAUAACUCAG